rnacentral:rRNA from 1 species
GAUGAACGCUAGCGGCAGGCUUAACGCAUGCAAGUCGAGGGGUAUAGGUUUUCGGACCUAGAGACCGGCGCACGGGUGCGUAACGCGUAUGCAAUCUACCUUUCACAGAGGGAUAGCCCAGAGAAAUUUGGAUUAAUACCUCAUAGUAUAGCAGUUUCGCAUGAAACCACUAUUAAAGUAUCAACGGUGAAAGAUGAGCAUGCGUCCCAUUAGCUAGAUGGUAAGGUGACGGCUUACCAUGGCUACGAUGGGUAGGGGUCCUGAGAGGGAGAUCCCCCACACUGGUACUGAGACACGGACCAGACUCCUACGGGAGGCAGCCGUGAGGAAUAGUGGUCAAUGGACGCAAGUCUGAACCAGCCAUGCCGCGUGCAGGAUGACGGUCCUAUGGAUUGUAAACUGCUUUUGUACGAGAAGAAACAACAUUACGUGUAAUGUCUUGACGGUAUCGUAAGAAUAAGGAUCGGCUAACUCCGUGCCAGCCGCCGCAGUAAAAC